AAUUCUUUGAUGCAUUGAGAAAAAGGCAGGAAAGGGAGAGGAAAGAACAUGAAGCACUGGGGCCUUACUUUUUCUGCGAUUCUUCUCAUUCAAAAACAGGGGAUUUUUCUCCAAGUGGAGACAGAUGAAGGGUUCAUAACUACCAAAGGAGUGCAAUUUUUGUUGAAUGGUAGGCCAUUUUACGCAAAUGGCUUCAAUGCCUAGUGGCUAAUGUACUUUGCAACUGACCCUUCACAGAGAGACAAAGUGACAGACAUCUGUUUUCCAAGAAGCUAAAGAACAUGGCCUCGCAAGAACUCGGGCUUUCAAUGAUGGUCAAGAUAGAGCUUUACAUGUCUCACUUGGCCACUACAAUUAACAAACUUUCCAGGCAGUCAUGAUAUAUCUUGCCUGGUAACAUUCUUUUUAGCCUUUUCAAAUUCUCCAUCCUUUGUUAAUGAUAUGGUUUAUCCUUUGUUAAAAGGUUAAAUAGCUACUAGGAAGGAAGCUAGGAGGCAUGGUAUUAAGCUAGUUUUGAGUUGGGUGAACAACUAUGUUGACUUUAGAGGGAGAAAAAUAGUCUGUGAACUAGGCAGCCAGUCAAGGAUACUACAGGAGUCAUAUCAAGGCUAUUCUCACAAGACGUAACAGUAUCACCGGAGUCCCUUACAAAGAUGAGCCAACAAUAAUGGUUUGGGAGCUCAUGAAUGAACCCAGAUGUGUCUCAGAUCCAUCAGGAAGGACCUUUCAGGCUAACUUGUUCAGGUGAAGCAAGCCAAGAAUCCUUUUUGAACAAUUGGCUUAACGAUCAUAUCCAAGAUGCACAGAGCAUCCUUCAGAAGCAAGUUCUGUUCACAGAGUUCGGAAAAUCAUUGAGAACAUCGAAUGAUAACCAAAGGGACCAGCUACUAUAUAUUCAAUACUGUCUUGUGUCUACUCAGCUAUUUAUUUAUCAGCUAGCAAUGGAGGUGCUGCAGCAGGCGGCAUGUUCUGGCAACUACUUACUGAAGGAAUGGACUCAUUCCGAGACUGGCAUGAAGUAGUCUUCAGCCAGAACCCUUCAACAGCUAGUAUCAUAGUUGAUCAGUCUCCAAAGUUCAAUCGGAUUCGAAAGAUGUACGCUAGGCUGAGGAACAUUGAGAAGUGGGAGAGAGCAAAAGAUAUGAGAACGCUUCAGUGGAGAGCUGGGAACAACGGCAAUUAACAUGGAAAAAUGAGAGCCAGGAGACUCUAGUUUUGAUCAUGUUAGACUAGCAAACUCUUUUAACUUGAAAAAUUAGCGUCAUCGCUGAAGUUUUAAG